CCAGGCUGAAGCUAGCGAACAAUAACUAGCGAACAAUAAGCCAGCGAACAAUAAGGCGAUAUAUCUAAAAACCGAAAAAAUGAAUAAGACAGCAACGGCCGUCAAAUGAAAAAUAUUUAAAAAGGCAGACAUUCCGUCCAAAUAUUGCAAUUUCAACUCUAUCGUGAAAUGGUAUUUAUCCCAUCCAUUGAUAAAACAAGUCGCAUCUCUUUUUAGGCUAAUAUUCAGUACCACAGUAAAUCUGCAUCUGUCAAGGGAUUAUUUGUAGGUGUAAGACCACUAAUGCAUCCACUUCAAUUUAGAACGUAUGUAAAAGUAGUCCUUCCCUGUAAAAUAUAGCACCUUUGAUGUCAUUGUUUAAUUGAACUAUAAUACACAUUUGCAGAAAUGAGGGUUGGACUAUUCCAUGGCUUCUAGAGAAAAAUAAUGAGGGGUGUCACGGGGUAUGACUAUAUAAGUCUUGUAGAGGAGAAAUUGGUGCAUCUUUUGCGCAAGGUAUCGAAGGGCGCUAUGUUCAAAAAUCUGAAACUAGAGCUCAAAAUUAAAACAAAAAAAUGUUAAAAACAGGGAGGUUGGCCUAUUCCAUGGCUUCUAGAGAAAAAUAAUGAGGGGUGUCACGGGGUAUGACUAUAUAGGUCUUGUCGAGGAGAAACAGGCGCAUCUUUUGCGCAAGGUAUCGAAGGGCGCUAUGUUCAAAAAUCUGAAACUAGAGCUCAAAAUUAAAAAAAAAAAAUGUUAAAAACAGGGGGGUUGGCCUAUUCCAGGGCUUCUAGAGAAAAAUAAUGAGGGGUGUCACGGGACAUGACUAUAUAGGUCUUGUAGAGGAGAAACAGGCGCAUCUUGUGCGCAAGGUAUCGAAGGGUGCUAUGUUCAAAAAUCUAAAACUAGAACUCAAAAUUUAAAAAAAAAUUGUUAAAAACAGGGGGGUUGGCCUAUUCCAUGGCUUCUAGAGAAAAAUAAUGAGGGGUGUCACGGGGUAUGACUAUAUAGGUCUUGUAGAGGAGAAACAGGCGCAUCUUUUGCGCAAAGUAUCGAAGGGCGCUAUGUUCAAAAAUCUGACACUAGAGCUCUAAAUUUAAAAAAAAAAAAUGUUAAAAACAGGGGGGUUGGCCUAUUCCAUGGCUUCUAGAGAAAAAUAAUGAGGGGUGUCAUGGGGUAUGACUAUAUAGGUCUUGUAGAGGAGAAACAGGCGCAUCUUUUGUGCAAGGUAUCGAAGGGCGCUAUGUUCAAAAAUCUGAAACUAGAGCUCAAAAUUAAAAAAAAAAAUGUUAAAAACAGGGGGGUUGGCCUAUUCCAUGGCUUCUAGAGAAAAAUAAUGAGGGGUGUCACGGGGUAUGACUAUAUAGGUCUUGUAGAGGAGAAACAGGCGCAUCUUUUGCGCAAGGUAUCCAAGGGCGCUAUGUUCAAAAAUCUGAAACUAGAGCUCAAAAUUAAAAAAAAAAAUGUUAAAAACAGGGAGGUUGGCCUAUUCCAUGGCUUCUAGAGAAAAAUAAUGAGGGGUGUCACGGGAUAUGACUAUAUAAGUCUUGUAGAGGAGAAACAGGCGCAUCUUUUGCGCAAGGUAUCGAAGGGCGCUAUGUUCAAAAAUCUGAAACUAGAGCUCAAAAUUAAAAAAAAAAAUGUUAAAAACAGGGGGGUUGGCCUAUUCCAUGGCUUCUAGAGAAAAAUAAUGAGGGGUGUAACGGGACAUGACUAUAUAGGUCUUGUAGAAGAGAAACAGGCGCAUCUUGUGCGCAAGGUAUCGAAGGGUGCUAUGUUCAAAAAUCUGAAACUAGAACUCAAAAUUUAAAAAAAAAUUGUUAAAAACAGGGGGGGUUGGCCUAUUCCAUGGCUUCUAGAGAAAAAUAAUGAUGGGUGUCACGGGGUAUGACUAUAUAGGUCUUGUAGAGGAGAAACAGGCUCAUCUUUUGCGCAAAGUAUCGAAGGGCGCUAUGAUAAAAAAUCUGACACUAGAGCUCUAAAUUUAAAAAAAAAAUCUUAAAAACAGGGGGGUUGGCCUAUUCCAUGGCUUCUAGAGAAAAAUAAUGAGGGGUGUCAUGGGGUAUGACUAUAUAGGUCUUGUAGAGGAGAAACAGGCGCAUCUUUUGUGCAAGGUAUCGAAGGGCGCUAUGUUCAAAAAUCUGAAACUAGAGCUCAAAAUUUAAAAAAAAAAUGUUAAAAACAGGGGGGUUGGCCUAUUCCAUGGCUUCUAGAGAAAAAUAAUGAGGAGUGUCACGGGGUAUGACUAUAUAGGUCUUGUAGAGGAGAAACAGGCGCAUCUUUUGCGCAAGGUAUCGAAGGGCGCUAUGUUCAAAAAUCUGAAACUAGAGCUCAAAAUUAAAAAAAAAAAUGUUAAAAACAGGGGGGUUGGCCUAUUCCAUGGCUUCUAGAGAAAAAUAAUGAGGGGUGUCACGGGGUAUGACUAUAUAAGUCUUGUAGAGGAGAAACAGGCGCAUCUUUUGCGCAAGGUAUCGAAGGGCGCUUUGUUCAAAAAUCUGAAACUAGAGCUCAAAAUUAAAACAAAAAAAUGUUAAAAACAGGGAGGUUGGCCUAUUCCAUGGCUUCUAGAGAAAAAUAAUGAGGGGUGUCACGGGGUAUGACUAUAUAGGUCUUGUCGAGGAGAAACAGGCGCAUCUUUUGUGCAAGGUAUCGAAGGGCGCUAUGUUCAAAAAUCUGAAACUAGAGCUCAAAAUUAAAAAAAAAAAUGUUAAAAACAGGGGGGUUGGCCUAUUCCAUGGCUUCUAGAGAAAAAUAAUGAGGGGUGUCACGGGGUAUGACUAUAUAAGUCUUGUAGAGGAGAAACAGGCGCAUCUUUUGCGCAAGGUAUCGAAGGGCGCUUUGUUCAAAAAUCUGAAACUAGAGCUCAAAAUUAAAAAAAAAAAUGUUAAAAACAGGGGGGUUGGCCUAUUCCAUGGCUUCUAGAGAAAAAAAAUGAGGGGUGUCACGGGGUAUGACUAUAUAGGUCUUGUAAAGGAGAAACAGGCGCAUCUUUUGCGCAAGGUAUCGAAGGGCGCUAUGUUCAAAAAUCUGAAACUAGAGCUCAAAAUUAAAAAAAAAAAUGUUAAAAACAGGGGGUUGGCCUAUUCCAUGGCUUCUAGAAAAAAAUAAUGAGGGGUGUCACGGGGUAUGACUAUAUAGGUCUUGAAGAGGAGAAACAGGCGCAUCUUUUGCGCAAGGUAUCGAAGGGCGCUAUGUUCAAAAAUCUGAAACUAGAGCUCAAAAUUAAAAAAAAAAAUGUUAAAAACAGGGGGGUUGGCCUAUUCCAUGGCUUCUAGAGAAAAAUAAUGAGGGGUGUCACGGGGAAUGACUAUAUAGGUCUUGUCGAGGAGAAACAGGCGCAUCUUUUGUGCAAGGUAUCGAAGGGCGCUAUGUUCAAAAAUCUGAAACUAGAGCUCAAAAUUUAAAAAAAAAAAUGUUAAAAACAGGGGGGUUGGCCUAUUCCAUGGCUUCUAGAGAAAAAUAAUGAGGGGUGUCACGGGGUAUGACUAUAUAGGUCUUGUCGAGGAGAAACAGGCGCAUCUUUUGUGCAAGGUAUCGAAGGGCGCUAUGUUCAAAAAUCUGAAACUAGAGCCAAAAUUUAAAAAAAAAAUGUUAAAAACAAGGGGGUUGGUCUAUUCCAUGGCUUCUAGAGAAAAAUAAUGAGGGGUGUCACGGGAUAUGACUAUAUAGGUCUUGUAGAGGAGAAACAGGCGCAUCUUUUGUGCAAGGUAUCGAAGGGCGCUAUGUUCAAAAAUCUGAAACUAGAGCUCAAAAUUAAAACAAAAAAAUGUUAAAAACAGGGAGGUUGGCCUAUUCCAUGGCUUCUAGAGAAAAAUAAUGAAGGGUGUCACGGGGUAUGACUAUAUAGGUCUUGUAGAGGAGAAACAGGCGCAUCUUUUGCGCAAGGUAUCGAAGGGCGCUAUGUUCUAAAAUCUGAAACUAGAGCUCAAAAUUAAAAAAAAAAAAUGUUAAAAACAGGGGGUUGGCCUAUUCCAUGGCUUCUAGAGAAAAAUAAUGAGGGGUGUCACGGGGUAUGACUAUAUAGGUCUUGAAGAGGAGAAACAGGCGCAUCUUUUGCGCAAGGUAUCGAAGGGCGCUAUGUUCAAAAAUCUGAAACUAGAGCUCAAAAUUAAAAAAAAAAAUGUUAAAAACAGGGGGGUUGGCCUAUUCCAUGGCUUCUAGAGAAAAAUAAUGAGGGGUGUCACGGGGUAUGACUAUAUAGGUCUUGUCGAGGAGAAACAGGCGCAUCUUUUGUGCAAGGUAUCGAAGGGCGCUAUGUUCAAAAAUCUGAAACUAGAGCUCAAAAUUAAAAAAAAAAAUGUUAAAAACAGGGGGGUUGGUCUAUUCCAUGGCUUCUAGAGAAAAAUAAUGAGGGGUGUCACGGGAUAUGACUAUAUAAGUCUUGUAGAGGAGAAACAGGCGCAUCUUUUGCGCAAGGUAUCGAAGGGCGCUAUGUUCAAAAAUCUGAAACUAGAGCUCAAAAUUAAAAAAAAAAUGUUAAAAACAGGGGGGUUGGCCUAUUCCAUGGCUUCUAGAGAAAAAUAAUGAGGGGUGUCACGGGGUAUGACUAUAUAGGUCUUGUCGAGGAGAAACAGGCGCAUCUUUUGCGCAAGGUAUCGAAGGGCGCUAUGUUCAAAAAUCUGAAACUAGAGCUCAAAAUUAAAAAAAAAAAUGUUAAAAACAGGGGGGUUGGCCUAUUCCAUGGCUUCUAGAGAAAAAUAAUGAGGGGUGUCACGGGGUAUGACUAUAUAAGUCUUGUAGAGGAGAAACAGGCGCAUCUUUUGCGCAAGGUAUCGAAGGGCGCUUUGUUCAAAAAUCUGAAACUAGAGCUCAAAAUUAAAAAAAAAAUGUUAAAAACAGGGGGGUUGGCCUAUUCCAUGGCUUCUAGAGAAAAAAAAAUGAGGGGUGUCACGGGGUAUGACUAUAUAGGUCUUGUAGAGGAGAAACAGGCGCAUCUUUUGCGCAAGGUAUCGAAGGGCGCUAUGUUCAAAAAUCUGAAACUAGAGCUCAAAAUUAAAACAAAAAAAUGUUAAAAACAGGGAGGUUGGCCUAUUCCAUGGCUUCUAGAGAAAAAUAAUGAGGGGUGUCACGGGGUAUGACUAUAUAGGUCUUGUAGAGGAGAAACAGGCGCAUCUUUUGCGCAAGGUAUCGAAGGGCGCUAUGUUCAAAAAUCUGAAACUAGAGCUCAAAAUUAAAAAAAAAAAUGUUAAAAACAGGGGGUUGGCCUAUUCCAUGGCUUCUAGAGAAAAAAAAAUGAGGGGUGUCACGGGGUAUGACUAUAUAGGUCUUGAAGAGGAGAAACAGGCGCAUCUUUUGCGCAAGGUAUUGAAGGGCGCUAUGUUCAAAAAUCUGACACUAGAGCUCAAAAUUAAAAAAAAAAAUGUUAAAAACACGGAGGUUGGCCUAUUCCAUGGCUUCUAGAGAAAAAUAAUGAGGAGUGUCACGGGGUAUGACUAUAUAGGUCUUGUAGAGGAGAAACAGGCGCAUAUUUUGCGCAAGGUAUCGAAGGGUGCUAUGUUCAAAAAUCUGAAACUAGAGCUCAAAAUUAAAACAAAAAAAUGUUAAAAACAGGGAGGUUGGCCUAUUCCAUGGCUUCUAGAGAAAAAUAAUGAGGGGUGUCACGGGGUAUGAUUAUAUAGGACUUGUAGAGGAGAAACAGGCGCAUCUUUUGCGCAAGGUAUUGAAGGGCGCUAUGUUCAAAAAUCUGAAACUAGAGCUCAAAAUUAAAAAAAAAAAAAAAUUUUAAAAA